rnacentral:ncRNA from 1 species
GUAGUCGGGCCGGUGUGUAGACAUUUUCGUUCGAACGGGGUAACCCGUGAGAAAUUGCCUCCUAAAGGCCCGCUCUCUCCUGCAUCGUUGGCUUUUUUAGGGCCGACUUUAACAGAACGGCCACUCGGGC